GCCGAGGUGGCGGAAUUGGUAGACGCGAGGGCCUUAAGAGCCCUUGUCCCGAUGGGACGUGGGGGUUCGAGUCCCCCUUUCGGCA
rnacentral:tRNA from 1 species